rnacentral:ncRNA from 28 species
UAUAAUCGUAGCAGUAGUAUCCUUGUAAGCUGGGGGAUUGGCCCUGGCGUAUCCACAACCGGACCGUAAUCCGGUAUAUCCAGGGAAAGCAAAAUUAAAUUU